rnacentral:rRNA from 1 species
AGUGAACGCUGGCGGCAGGCCUAACACAUGCAAGUCGAACGGCAGCACAGGAGAGCUUGCUCUCUGGGUGGCGAGUGGCGGACGGGUGAGGAAUACAUCGGAAUCUACCUUGUCGUGGGGGAUAACGUAGGGAAACUUACGCUAAUACCGCAUACGACCUACGGGUGAAAGCAGGGGACCUUCGGGCCUUGCGCGAUUAGAUGAGCCGAUGUCCGAUUAGCUAGUUGGCGGGGUAAAGGCCCACCAAGGCGACGAUCGGUAGCUGGUCUGAGAGGAUGAUCAGCCACACUGGAACUGAGACACGGUCCAGACUCCUACGGGAGGCAGCAGUGGGGAAUAUUGGACAAUGGGCGCAAGCCUGAUCCAGCCAUGCCGCGUGGGUGAAGAAGGCCUUCGGGUUGUAAAGCCCUUUUGUUGGGAAAGAAAAGCAAUCGGUUAAUACCCGGUUGUUCUGAC